AUUGAACGCUGGCGGCAGGCCUAACACAUGCAAGUCGAGCGGAUGAAGGGAGCUUGCUCCUGGAUUCAGCGGCGGACGGGUGAGUAAUGCCUAGGAAUCUGCCUGGUAGUGGGGGAUACCUUCCGGAAACGGGCGCUAAUACCGCUUACGUCCUGAGGGGGAAAGUGGGGGAUCUUCGGCCCUCACGCUAUCAGAUGAGCCUAGGUCGGAUUAGCUAGUUGGUGGGGUAAAGGCCUACCAAGGCGACGAUCCGUAACUGGUCUGAGAGGAUGAUCAGUCACACUGGAACUGAGACACGGUCCAGACUCCUACGGGAGGCAGCAGUGGGGAAUAUUGGACAAUGGGCGAAAGCCUGAUCCAGCCAUGCCGCGUGUGUGAAGAAGGUCUUCGGAUUGUAAAGCACUUUAAGUUGGGAGGAAGGGCAGUAAGUUAAUACCUUGCUGUUUUGACGUUACCAACAGAAUAAGCACCGGCUAACUUCGUG
rnacentral:rRNA from 1 species